AUGAACGCUGGCGGCGUGCCUAAUACAUGCAAGUCGCGCGAACGGACGAGAAGCUUGCUUCUCUGAUGUUAGCGGCGGACGGGUGAGUAACACGUGGAUAACCUACCUAUAAGACUGGGAUAACUUCGGGAAACCGGAGCUAAUACCGGAUAAUAUUUUGAACCGCAUGGUUCAAAAGUGAAAGACGGUCUUGCUGUCACUUAUAGAUGGAUCCGCGCUGCAUUAGCUAGUUGGUAAGGUAACGGCUUACCAAGGCAACGAUGCAUAGCCGACCUGAGAGGGUGAUCGGCCACACUGGAACUGAGACACGGUCCAGACUCCUACGGGAGGCAGCAGUAGGGAAUCUUCCGCAAUGGGCGAAAGCCUGACGGAGCAACGCCGCGCGAGUGAUGAAGGUCUUCGGAUCGUAAAACUCUGUUAUUAGGGAAGAACAUAUGUGUAAGUAACUGUGCACAUCUUGACGGUACCUAAUCAGAAAGCCACGGCUAACUACGUG
rnacentral:rRNA from 1 species